rnacentral:lncRNA from 1 species
CCAUAAUGUGGACAGGAUUGACGGAAGGUCACGGAGACAGUGGCAGAGCUGGCCUGGAACCCAGGCCAACCCAACAGCUGUAUUCUUUCCGGCACAGCAUCCUUGAGGCUUCCUGUCCUUGCCGUGGGUGGCUUGGUGUCAGUUGCGAUUGUCCAAGUGCCAGGACAGAAGCUUCUGCUUUGAGAAGAUGUUCAUGAUUUGUGGGCAUGAGAGUUGAGGUCCUCUUGCUUCCGGAAGGGACAGUUAAAUUCAAGACUCAUUCAUUAAAGCCUCCCUCUUGAUACCUUUGGGAUCUGUCCACUUUUUCUACCUCCCCUGUGACCUCCCAGUACAAGCCGUGGUCAUCUCUUGCCUGGACAACUAUGAAGGCCUCUUAGUUGGUCUCUGCUUCCACUCCUGUGACCCUCUCCAUCUAAUAACCCAACUGAGGCCAAAGUUGCCUAAAAGAAUGGAUCCUGUGGAUAAACACGGUGCGGUACAUCCAGACAAUGGAAUAUUACUCAGCGAUAAAAACAAAUGAGUUAUCAAGUCACAAAUAGACAUGUAAGAACCUUAAAUGUGUCUUGUUUACCACAAGAAGGCAAGCUGAAAAGGCUCCGUUGAUUCCAACUAUGUGACAUUCUGGAGAAAGCAAAGCUAUGGAGAUGCUGAAAAGUAGUAGUUGCCAGGGGCUGAGAGGAAACAGGGAAGAGAGACGAGUCGAUGGAGCACAGGGGGAUUCAGGGCAGUGACGUUACUCUGUGUGAUCCUGUAAGGGUGGGAUUGUGAUGUUAUGCAUUUGGUAGAAUCUGUAGAAUGAACAACACAAAGAGUGAACCCUAAUGUAAUCUAUGGACCUCCGUUAAUACUGUAUCAAUGUUGUCUUAUCAAUUGUGACAAAUAUCCCACACCGAUGCAAGAUGCUAAUAAUAGGGGGAACUGGAGGUGGGGGUGGUGUAUGAGAACCCUCUCUACUAUCUGCUCCAUUUUUCUGUAAACCUAAAAGUGCUUUAAAAAAUUAAAGUUCACUGUAGUUUGUACAUACAAUGAAAUAUGACUCAGCCUGAAAAAGGAAGGAAAUUCUGACUCAUGCUACACCUGGAUGAACCUUAGGACAUUAUGCUAAGUGAAAUAAGCCAGUCACAAAAGGACAAAUAUGGUGCAAUUCCACUUAUAUGAGGUCCCUAGAGGAAUCAUAUUCACAGAGACAGGAAGUAGAAUGGUGGGUGCCAGGGGCUGGGGAAGGGCGAUGGGGAGAGAACCUCAGUCUGGGAAGAUGGAGAAAGAGAUGGAUGGUGCUGAUGGUUACAUAACAAAGCGAAUGUACUUAAUGCCACUGAGCUGUACACUUAAAAAUGGUUAAAACGGUAUUUUAUGUUAUGUUUUACCAACAAAGAGGUUUUACCGCACAGAGUACAGGGACCACCUUGAGGCUGGAGCAGCCAUUUCCAUCCGUGAAGGGAGACGGACUCUGGGAAGUAAAUCUGCCUGUUUUGUUUUUAAAUUCUGCUUCACUGUCUCUCUGGAACUCUCUUCUCAUUGCAGAGAGGAAACACGAGUGUCUCAAGGACUUUUCUCUCUGUGCCCCCUGACCCCACACCUGAACUGUGUGAGUCCCAAGGGCUCUGAAGCUAAGCUCCCCUGCCCGGCCCAUUUGCCGAGGGAGCUGCCAUCAGUUACACAUGAAAGACCAGGGUCGUUGAGUCGCCCGCUGCUGGAGGCGAGGAUUUAACAGGAAGGCUCGGUGAUGCCGGCUGCGUUUCCUCGAUGUUGCGGGGCAGGCAGCCAACAGCCAGAAUCCUGCUCCACUCUCUGAGGCUGAGAGAAGUCAAAGCGAGACCCCACACCGUACCCCGCAGCCCCCGGAAGACCCGGAGGCCCCCAAGCUGGGGUGCUCCCCAUCUCACAUUGUGCCCUGGCUGCAGCCACACUGCCCAGGCGACACAACGUCAGGCCGAGAAUCUUUAGCGCUGGCUUCCUGCCCCAGGACCCAUCCCGGUCCCCAUCCGCGCCCCCCAGCCUCCGAG